rnacentral:misc_RNA from 1 species
CGCACCUUGCGCCUCUUGGUAUUCCGAGAGGCAUGCCUGUUUGAGUGUCAUUAAAUUCUCAACUUCAAAAGCUUUUGUUUUUGAAGCUUGGAUGUGGAGGUCUGCUGGCUCUUCUAGAGUCGGCUCCUCUGAAAUGCAUUAGUGGAAACUGUUUGUAAUCCGCAUUGGUGUGAUAAUUAUCUACGCUUCUGUGUGACUACAGCUCUGUAGUGUUCGUUUGGGAAGCUGCAUUAAGUUGCUCUUUCUGUUUACAAUGACCUACACGAGUCUAGUAUCUGCUUCAAACCGUCCUAAGUUAUUGGACAACUUUGAACCUUUUGACCUCAAAUCAGGUAGGACUACCCGCUGAACUUAA